CCUCUCACCACCUCCUCGUCAUCCUCAGCGUGCACGCUGCGCGUGGCCGUAGUGGGGGUGGCCCCGCGGCACGUCGGCUGCCGAGGCGCUGGUCUCGCCGAGGGCCCAGAUGCAGGUGCUCUCCUCUACCAACCUCGCCGCUGACUUCUCCCGCGCGCUGCCGCCCGGGGCACCCAUCCCCAUGCUCCGCCGUGAGGUGCUCCACUCCUUCCUCCGCCGUCGAGGCCGAGCUCGUCCAGGGCCUCAUCACCUCCGCCGUGAGGUGCUCCACUCCUUCGUCUUCAAGCUCUCGCCCCAGGGGUGCGCUAGUGCCAGGUGCGGCGAGCCAGCAGAUCAAGGAAACCGCCCGUGGCCGCCCCAAGCGUUACAUCUGCACUGGCUGCUGCUGGUGACAAGCAAGAACAACCAAAGUAAAGAAGUCUACAUAAUUGCCAAGAAUCAUCUUCAUCCAUGGGGAUCCGGUAAAGCAGCAGCCCCUCGGCUGGGUAACCUACUGUGAAGCAUCAGGUCAGCAGUGAAGGAGAUCUGAGUUCGAAGCAAAUUUGCCGCGAAUUCUCUCCGGAAAUCAUUCGAGUGGCUGGAUUUUGAAGCGCAGCCAUGGGAUCGGAGGAUUUUGUCUGUAAAAUGAUGUGAUUCGGCGGGUGAGAGACUGGUUCUUCCGGGUCCAUUGUAGCAGCAGUCCUUUUUUUAUCUCCUUAGUUUUGUUGGAGUUCUUCCGGGUGAGAGACUGGUUCUUCUGGGCCCAGCGGCGGGUGAGAGACUGGUUCUUCCGGGUCCAUUGAAGCGCAGCCAUGGGAUCGGAGGAUUAUGUAGACUUCUUUAGGCCUUGUUCGUUUGUAUCGGAUUGUAUCCGUAAUCAUUCCAGCUAAUCAAAAUUUAUAU